AGAGUUUGAUCCUGGCUCAGGAUGAACGCUGGCGGCGUGCUUAACACAUGCAAGUCGAACGGUGAAGGCGGAGCUUGCUCUGCUGGAUCAGUGGCGAACGGGUGAGUAACACGUGAGCAAUCUGCCCCUGACUCUGGGAUAAGCGCUGGAAACGGCGUCUAAUACUGGAUACGAGCUGCGAAGGCAUCUUCAGCAGCUGGAAAGAACUUCGGUCAGGGAUGAGCUCGCGGCCUAUCAGCUUGUUGGUGAGGUAACGGCUCACCAAGGCGUCGACGGGUAGCCGGCCUGAGAGGGUGACCGGCCACACUGGGACUGAGACACGGCCCAGACUCCUACGGGAGGCAGCAGUGGGGAAUAUUGCACAAUGGGCGAAGGCCUGAUGCAGCAACGCCGCGUGAGGGACGACGGCCUUCGGGUUGUAAACCUCUUUUAGCAGGGAAGAAGCGAAAGUGACGGUACCUGCAGAAAAAGCGCCGGCUAACUACGUGCCAGCCGCCGCGGUAAUUC
rnacentral:rRNA from 1 species